CUACGGGUUGCACCAGUGAGGAAUAUUGCACAAUGGGGGGAACCCUGAUGCAGCAACGCCGCGUGGAGGAUGACGCAUUUCGGUGUGUAAACUCCUUUUAUAUGUCAAGAAAAUGACGGUAGCAUAUGAAUAAGCACCGGCUAACUCCGUGCCAGCAGCCGCGGUAAUACGGAGGGUGCAAGCGUUACUCGGAAUCACUGGGCGUAAAGGACGCGUAGGCGGGCUUGUAAGUCAGGUGUGAAAUCCUACAGCUUAACUGUAGAACUGCACUUGAAACUACGAGCCUAGAGUAUGGGAGGGGCAGAUGGAAUUAGUGGUGUAGGGGUAAAAUCCGUAGAUAUCACUAGGAAUACCGAAAGCGAAGGCGAUCUGCUGGAACAUUACUGACGCUAAGGCGUGAAAGCGUGGGGAGCAAACGGGAUUAGAUACCCCAGUAGUC
rnacentral:rRNA from 1 species